rnacentral:rRNA from 1 species
AGAGUUUGAUCAUGGCUCAGAGCGAACGCUGGCGGCAGGCUUAACACAUGCAAGUCUAACGGACGCAGCAAUGCGUCAGUGGCAGACGGGUGAGUAACACGUGGGAACGUGCCCUUCGGUUCGGAACAACCCAGGGAAACUUGGGCUAAUACCGGAUACGUCCGCAAGGAGAAAGAUUUAUCGCCGAAGGAUCGGCCCGCGUCUGAUUAGCUUGUUGGUGAGGUAACGGCUCACCAAGGCGACGAUCAGUAGCUGGUCUGAGAGGAUGAUCAGCCACACUGGGACUGAGACACGGCCCAGACUCCUACGGGAGGCAGCAGUGGGGAAUAUUGGACAAUGGGCGCAAGCCUGAUCCAGCAUGCCGCGUGGGUGAUGAAGGCCUUAGGGUUGUAAAGCCCUUUCGGCGGGGAAGAUAAUGACGGUACCCGCAGAAGAAGCCCCGGCUAACUUCGUGCCAGCAGCCGCGGUAAUACGAAGGGGGUUAGCGUUGCUCGGAAUCACUGGGCGUAAAGCGCACGUAGGCGGAUUGCUAAGUCAGGGGUGAAAUCCUGGAGCUCAACUCCAGAACUGCCCUUGAUACUGGCGACCUUGAGUCCGGGAGAGGUGAGUGGAACUGCGAGUGUAGAGGUGAAAUUCGUAGAUAUUCGCAAGAACACCAGUGGCGAAGGCGGCUCACUGGCCCGGUACUGACGCUGAGGUGCGAAAGCGUGGGGAGCAAACAGGAUUAGAUACCCUAGUAGUCC